rnacentral:rRNA from 1 species
CGGGGGGGAGUAAACCCAAAGGGGGAAAACUUUGGCUAAUACCGCAUGAUACCGAGAGGUCAAAGGGGGCUCGCAAGGGCUCUCGCCAUAGGAGGGGUCCGCGUCCGAUUAGCUAGUUGGUAGGGUAAUGGCCUACCAAGGCGACGAUCGGUAGCCGGCCUGAGAGGGUGAUCGGCCACACUGGAACUGAGACACGGUCCAG